ACAGCGGGGGCGAGGAGCCGCAGGGGAAAUGUAGAAGUGGCCACCGCCCCCUCCAAGUGGAGGGGGAGACUCAGCCACGCGUCGUCCUGGGCAUUAGAGCAGUAAUGCCCCCAAAACACAGGGCUGCGAAUGGGGUCUGUUGGGGGGAGUGCGCGCCGGAGAUCUCCAAUCAGCCGCCCCCGCAGGCGGAGCGCCCGCCCAACACCGAGAGUGAUCUGCGACCGAGCUGACUGCGGCUUGGGGAGGCUUGAGUAUAGAAGAGGCCAUCGAGCGAUCACCGGAGCUAGGGCUCCCAGCCUCCGGGGCUCCGAGGCUCAGACUACGGGCGCCCCCCGCCACACCCAAACACGGACCCCUCUUUUCCCGUCCCUGGCUCUCCGCACCUGAACUUCGGGGGAGCCCGCGCCGCCAAACUUUCCGCAGACUUGCAGCGAACUCCGGCCCCGGCCGCGCACCGGGCCCCGGGGGAGGAGAGGGAGGCUGCUGGCCCCGGCCAGGAUCCUGAAUGGCUUUUUAGCACGCUCCAAGUUCUACAUUUGGGAGCUACCAGAUGACAAACCUGACUGGCUGAAAGCUGGACUGGCCUUGGCUACCUCCAUCUUCUUGUGGAUCUAUCUCA